GCCAGACAGAGGCAACAGCAUGAACGGAAACACACAGUUCUGAAACAGCAUGACACAUUCAAAGGAGCUGUAAACAGAAUUUGGAAUUUCAGGGGCUUAAAGUAGAAGCAGGUGAUGUCAAGAGAAGAAGCUCAAAAGUAAGCUCACUGGAUGAUAUCAAAGAGAUUCUGUACACUCUCACCUCGGUCAGCAGCAAGGCUUUCUCUUCAUACCCUUCUCAACUGGGCAAGCAAGAAAAAGGAAAAUAUACCAGCAUGAGUCCAAUGGGAAAGUCAGAGAGUCUGGCAGAAAAGAGAGUCAACUCCUACGACAAACAUAGCUUAACCACUGGUGGCCAGGGGUUCUCAAGAAGAAGGACAACUCUGUGUACCCAAACUUCCACGUAGCUUCCUGACAUUAGGUUUGGAACAUCUGAACUCUUGGUGGGGAAGAGGAGGGUGGGCUCUCCACAAUCGUCCUGCCCUCUCAUUACUUCUCCCUCCCAUAUAUCACAUCUUCUUCAGGAACAGGAAACUUUGCUUAAAGAGUACAUCAAAAUGUUUCUGUCUCACUCUUAGGCUAGCACCUUCUUUGAAGUCUGAUGGUCACACGUGAUGUCCACUUCUGUUGCUCUUUCUACAGAGGGUGAUUCAGUUCUAUCUGUGAGAUCACAGACUCCAAGGAGCUUCUCUGGG
rnacentral:lncRNA from 1 species